AGGACGAACGCUGGCGGCGUGCUUAACACAUGCAAGUCGAGCGGUAAGGCCCUUUCGGGGGUACACGAGCGGCGAACGGGUGAGUAACACGUGGGUGACCUGCCUUUAGCUUCGGGAUAAGCCCGGGAAACUGGGUCUAAUACCGGAUAUGACCUUCUCCUCGCAUGGGGGUUGGUGGAAAGUUUUUCGGCUAGAGAUGGGCCCGCGGCCUAUCAGCUUGUUGGUGGGGUGAUGGCCUACCAAGGCGACGACGGGUAGCCGGCCUGAGAGGGCGACCGGCCACACUGGGACUGAGAUACGGCCCAGACUCCUACGGGAGGCAGCAGUGGGGAAUAUUGCGCAAUGGGCGGAAGCCUGACGCAGCGACGCCACGUGGGGGAUGACGGCCUUCGGGUUGUAAACCUCUUUCGACCGGGACGAAGCGAGAGUGACGGUACCGGUAGAAGAAGCACCGGCCAACUACGCGCCAGCAGCCGC
rnacentral:rRNA from 1 species